CGUCAAAUUUUUGCUCAUAAUGACGGUUAUUCUCCACAUCCUCCUGUUUAUUCAAUAAAAGGUUAUUACAUAUAGCGAACCCUCCCCCUCCCUUCUAGAAGUCAAUGACAUUUUCUUCCAAAAUGGCGACGAAUUGAAGAAUAUAUUAAGAAAAACUUGCAAUUUCCACUUUAUUAACGGAUAAUUAAACUCAUCCUGGACUUUCAUGAUCGGAGUCUGAUAAAACAUCAUCUCCUGGAAGGAUAAUUGGCAGAUAUGCUUCCAUCGUCAUUUUGUUUUAAAAAACUACAUAAUCGUGAUUUCUAAACAACAAAAGAAGUGGAUAUUUUGGGAGGAUUAUUUUUCAAAAAUUGUCAAAAAUGAAUAUUUUUGGAUCAUCAAAUUAUAAAAGACUGCAAAUUCUCAAGGAUUCCAAUUAAGUGUCUUCCAUAAUCAAUUAAAAGUUGAAGAAUAGAAAAGCAGAUAAGAAAUGGCGAUAAACCAGAUGAGGUGAGAGAUGAGGUGAUAUUUGCUGUCUAUGGUGGAAAAUUCAAAAUCGGUAAUGCAACAAAAACAAUGGACUCUACGGAACUUCUGUUUACAUCUCGAGGCAGUGUGUUGACGUUCGGUUCGUGGUACGGUAAAGUCAUAAAAUCGGAGAUAAUUAAAAUUCGCAAAUAAUAGCUCGGUUUGCAUUUGCCAAUCUCCUCUCUUUCUUUCUCAUUUAUUUUGUCUUUACUGAUUUAACAUUUCAAUCAAAAACAAAAAAAUAUUUUUUUGUUGUGAAUUUUUUAUAUUUUUAUAAAUAAAAUAAAUAUUAUAAUUAUUUAUAUUAAAAUUACAUAUAAAAAUAAGAGAGAAAAAGAGUGGGAUCAUUUCAUUAGAGUCGUUCAGUAUUAUCGGGUGCCAUAUUGAAAUAUACUUCCGUGUGUCGCGUUCCGUCCAAAAACCACGUGUUUGUAAAAUCAUUUUAAUUUUUACAAAUUAAUAUUUUUAGAUUUCGGGAGUGUUCGCAUUACUUAAAACCGCGAUCGCAUGUAAAAGUAAAAAAAGUUAAUACGUGGUUCGGAAGUGCUCGAAAUAUUUUAAAACCGGGAGUGAGUGUUUAUUUUGAGUGCCACUAUUGGAAAACACCGUUCGAGUGCCGCUCCGAGAUGGAGAUCGGGCAUGGGCGAAGGGAG